UACGGAGGGAGCUAGCGUUGUUCGGAAUUACUGGGCGUAAAGCGCACGUAGGCGGCUUUGUAAGUUAGAGGUGAAAGCCUGGGGCUCAACUCCAGAACUGCCUUUAAAACUGCAUCGCUUGAAUCCAGGAGAGGUGGGUGGAAUUCCGAGUGUAGAGGUGAAAUUCGUAGAUAUUCGGAAGAACACCAGUGGCGAAGGCGGCUCACUGGACUGGUAUUGACGCUGAGGUGCGAAAGCGUGGGGAGCAAACAGG
rnacentral:rRNA from 1 species